rnacentral:rRNA from 1 species
AUUGAACGCUGGCGGCAGGCCUAACACAUGCAAGUCGAGCGGAUGAAGGGAGCUUGCUCCUGGAUUCAGCGGCGGACGGGUGAGUAAUGCCUAAGAAUCUGCCUGGUAGUGGGGGAUAACGUCCGGAAACGGGCGCUAAUACCGCAUACGUCCUGAGGGAGAAAGAGGGGGAUCUUCGGACCUCACGCUCUCAGAUGAGCCUAGGUCGGAUUAGCUAGUUGGUGGGGUAAAGGCCUACCAAGGCGACGAUCCGUAACUGGUCUGAGAGGAUGAUCAGUCACACUGGAACUGAGACACGGUCCAGACUCCUACGGGAGGCAGCAGUAGGGAAUAUUGGACAAUGGGCGAAAGCCUGAUCCAGCCAUGCCGCGUGUGUGAAGAAGGUCUUCGGAUUGUAAAGCACUUUAAGUUGGGAGGAAGGGCAGUAAGUUAAUACCUUGCUGUUUUGACGUUACCAACAGAAUAAGCACCGGCUAACUUCGUG